rnacentral:tRNA from 1 species
GUUUCCGUAGUUCAAUGGACAGAACAAAGACCUCCUAAGUCUUAGAUGCAGGUUCAAUUCCUGUCGGAAACA